rnacentral:lncRNA from 10 species
GUUCCCCGGCUGGAUGCGGUGACUGGUGCCAGUGCUCAGGCGCCCGCUGCCCUUGACCUCCCGCCCCGCGAGCCCUAACUCAGCGCAGGAGGACCGGCUGCCGCCGCCGCCGCCGCCAGAUCCACACAACUUAAAGAUCUGCUGUCGAGUGAAUGGGGAAGUGGUCCAGAGCAGCAACACCAACCAGAUGGUAUUCAAGACAGAGGACCUGAUAGCCUGGGUGUCCCAGUUUGUUACCUUUUACCCAGGGGAUGUCAUCCUGACUGGGACCCCCCCACCUCCACCCAGGUGUCGGUGUAUUCAGGAAACCUCCUGUCUUUCUCAAGGUCUCUGAAGGUCCAGACAGCACUGAUGGCGAGCUUUGGGUCCGCACACUCUGGAAAGAAGAGAGAAGUGAAGGCUCUAGGGGGCAGCAGCCACCAGCAAACACCACUGCCUGCAGGAGCCUGGGCUGACUGGUUGGGACUCACCGAAGAUCCCUUCUUCCUGGGCGGUGGCCUGCAGGAACUGGAACAGCUGCUCUGUGUAGCCCAACUCUGCAGAAGAGAGAAGACCUAGACCUGGCACCCAGCACAGACACAGCCUGCCUCGAGGACUGCAAGGGAACAAGGGCCUCACCAGUAUCGGGCAGCUGGCCCUGGCGGAGGAAGGCGGCAGCCUGUGCAAAGGCCUUGAGCAGCGGGCUGAGCAGGCGGCAGAGGAAAAGAAAGAAAUCUGGGCAGUGUGACUGCUGGCUGAGCUGGAGGGGACAGGCCGGGGUGAGUGCAGCUCCCCACCGCCUCCCUACCACCUCCCUCCAGGGGCAGCUUUUUGAAACACACCCUGAAGUACCGGCCGUCAGCCUCUCCGAAGUCAUCACUGUCACUAUCAGUAAAGUCCCCACUCGGUUUCCA